GCCUGCGUGCUGACACUGAGCUCCUGCGCAGCGAGCAGGGACGCAUGGAGCAAACGCUGGUGGCAGAGCAGGCGAGGGCAGGAGCUCUGCAACGCAGCGAGGCUGAGCUGCAGCUCCGGGUCCGGGAGCUGGAGGAGCAGCGGGAUGAGGCCAACCGAGCAGCAGAGGCUGCACGACAGCAGCUGAAGCACAGCACGCAGCAGAUGGAGCAGCUGGAGGGGCAGCGGGCAGCAGGGCAGCAGGAGCUGCUGAGGGCACGGGAGGCGCUGAGCCGGGCACAGCUGGAGGCAGAGGUGGCACGGGGAGAGCAGGCAGCGCUGGGAGAGGCUCUGGCACAGG
rnacentral:lncRNA from 1 species